rnacentral:rRNA from 1 species
CCUACGGAUGGCAGCAGUGAGGAAUAUUGGUCAAUGGACGAGAGUCUGAACCAGCCAAGUAGCGUGAAGGAUGACUGCCCUAUGGGUUGUAAACUUCUUUUAUAUGGGAAUAAAACAGGGUAUGCAUACCCUCUUGUAUGUACCAUAUGAAUAAGGAUCGGCUAACUCCGUGCCAGCAGCCGCGGUAAUACGGAGGAUCCGAGCGUUAUCCGGAUUUAUUGGGUUUAAAGGGAGCGUAGGUGGAUUGUUAAGUCAGUUGUGAAAGUUUGCGGCUCAACCGUAAAAUUGCAGUUGAAACUGGCAGGCUUGAGUACAGUAGAGGUGGGCGGAAUUCGUGGUGUAGCGGUGAAAUGCUUAGAUAUCACGAAGAACUCCGAUUGUGAAGGCAGCUCACUGGACUGCAACUGACACUGAUGCUCGAAAGUGUGGGUAUCAAACAGGAUUAGAUACCCUUGUAGUC